GAGGAGGAGAAUAGACAGCACACAUAGGAGGUGGAGGGGGGAGGAGGUGGUGGUGAUGGUGUGGAAACCCCAAAAGUAGCCAAUCUUGGUACAGUAGAUGCAUAUAUAGGUGGAGGUGGAGGAGGUGGAGGCGGCAAUGAACUAGAUACUACUUCUGAGGAAGUUCCACACCCUCCACUUGACCAAAGGGGUGGUUGGGGGGGUGGCAAGAAGACCCUACCAACAUUUAAUACACUGGAUGAUGUGGGCGGAGGUGGAGGAGGAGGUGGUGGUGGUGGGAUAGGAGAAAAGUCAGCCAUCGGAGUCAUCCUCAAGCUAGUUGAUGGCGGAGGUGGAGGGGGUGGGGGAGGUGGAGGAGGAGGUGAAAAAGACUGGACAUUACUUGAAAGAGACAGAGAUGGCGUGCUCAGAGGUGGCGGGGGAGGCACGGUCGGAGCUGGUGGAGAAUUGGAGGCUGGCAGAGUAAAAGAAGCUGUCAAAAUAUUGCUUUCCAGCAGAGACAAAAGUGGAGUUGCAGAAGCUGAUGAUGAAUUAGUUCCUGCUACUUCAGCAUCAGGCGUUUCAUGAGAUGAAGUGCUUGGCGGUCGAGAAGAUGGAUGAAGCUGCAGGGCCUGCCUGUCAGCUAAUUCAGGAGCAGAGAUUGUAGCAGGACAUGAGGAGUCUUUACCUGGAACACACCCUGCUUCAGCAGAAACUAUAGCUUCUGAAGAAGCUCGAGGAGAUGGUGACUUUGAUUUAACCCCAGACUGAGAAUCUUUGGUGAGAGCAAGCACAGGAGGAGCACUGUUAUACCUUGAUGGUGGAUAUGCUACAUGCAUUGAAUUAGUGUAAGAACCUUUGUUAGGAGGGAUCCACCGGGACACUGCAUUUGGCUUUGCCUGUCGUGAAACAGUGCCCUGGGGUU
rnacentral:lncRNA from 1 species